ACACUCCUGCGGGAGGCAGCAGUGGGGAAUAUUGGACAAUGGGCGCAAGCCUGAUCCAGCCAUGCCGCGUGAGUGAUGAAGGCCCUAGGGUUGUAAAGCUCUUUCACCGGUGAAGAUAAUGACGGUAACCGGAGAAGAAGCCCCGGCUAACCUCGUGCCAGCAGCCGCGGUAAUACGAAGGGGGCUAGCGUUGUUCGGAUUUACUGGGCGUAAAGCGCACGUAGGCGGACUAUUAAGUCAGGGGUGAAAUCCCGGGGCUCAACCCCGGAACUGCCUUUGAUACUGGUAGUCUUGAGUUCGAGAGAGGUGAGUGGAAUUCCGAGUGUAGAGGUGAAAUUCGUAGAUAUUCGGAGGAACACCAGUGGCGAAGGCGGCUCACUGGCUCGAUACUGACGCUGAGGUGCGAAAGCGUGGGGAGCAAACAGGAUUAGAAACCCUGGUAGUCCCAUGAU
rnacentral:rRNA from 1 species